CCCUGGCCCUCCUCGGGCCCAAAACGAGAGGGGUGGCGCGCUUGGCGCGAGGAGAGGGGUGUGGUGGUGCGGUUUGGCCAAGGAAGGAGCAUCGGACGCGCCGCCUCUGCCUUUUCCUUUUCACAUUUCCCCCUCCUUCCCUCCUGCCCUGCCUCCUCGGCCGGCGCGGCGCCCCAUGUACGUGGCUCGACCGACGGCGAUCGCCGGCCCUACCCCUACCGCCCGCGGCGCACGUCGCCUUCCGGCUCCGGGAUUGUUAAUUACCGUUUCGAAUCCAGCAGUUUGACAGCAAAGAGAAACAGAGGGAUCAUCCAGGAAAAAAAAAGGGCUGGGCUACAAGCACAUCCAGAUCCAGGCUGGAGUAGGAGGCAGCUGAGCGAGUGUUGUUCCAGUGGUGCCUGCCAACGGAGGUGGCUGGCUCAUGAACAUUCACCCGUACAACCAGACAACCGUACAGCAAGCGAGCAACAGCACGCAUUUGCAACUUAG
rnacentral:lncRNA from 1 species